rnacentral:rRNA from 1 species
AUUGAACGCUGGCGGAAUGCUUUACACAUGCAAGUCGAACGGUAGAGGGGGCAACCCCUUGAGAGUGGCGAACGGGUGAGUAAUAUAUCGGAACGUGCCCAGUCGUGGGGAUAACGUAGCGAAAGUUACGCUAAUACCGCAUACGAUCUAAGGAUGAAAGCGGGGGAUCGCAAGACCUCGCGCGAUUGGAGCGGCCGAUAUCAGAUUAGGUAGUUGGUGAGGUAAAGGCUCACCAAGCCAACGAUCUGUAGCUGGUCUGAGAGGACGACCAGCCACACUGGAACUGAGACACGGUCCAGACUCCUACGGGAGGCAGCAGUGGGGAAUUUUGGACAAUGGACGCAAGUCUGAUCCAGCCAUUCCGCGUGCAGGAUGAAGGCCCUCGGGUUGUAAACUGCUUUUUGUACGGAACGAAAAGGUUUGUCUUAAUACGAUGAGCUCAUGACGGUACCGUAAGAAUAAGCACCGGCUAACUACGUGCCAGCAGCCGCGGU